rnacentral:rRNA from 1 species
ACGGAAGGCAGCAGUGGGGGAUAUUGCACAAUGGGGGAAACCCUGAUGCAGCAACGCCGCGUGAGGGAAGACGGUCUUCGGAUUGUAAACCUAAGUUGUCAGGGACGAAUUUUGACGGUACCUGAAGAGAAAGCUCCGGCUAACUACGUGCCAGCAGCCGCGGUAAUACGUAGGGAGCGAGCGUUGUCCGGAUUUACUGGGUGUAAAGGGUGCGUAGGCGGGUCUGCAAGUCAGACGUGAAAUGCCGGAGCUUAACUCCGGAGCUGCGUUUGAAACUGUAGAUCUUGAGUGAAGUAGAGGCAAGCGGAAUUCCUAGUGUAGCGGUGAAAUGCGUAGAUAUUAGGAGGAACACCAGUGGCGAAGGCGGCUUGCUGGGCUUUAACUGACGCUGAGGCACGAAAGCGUGGGGAGCAAACAGGAUUAGAUACCCUGGUA